AACGAACGCUGGCGGCGUGGAUAAGACAUGCAAGUCGAACGCUAAUUGCGGAGUAGCAAUAUUUCGUAGUUGGAGUGGCGCAAGGGUGCGUAACACGUGGGUAAUUUGCCGUGAAGCUCGGAAUAACUCGCUGAAAGGCGAGCUAAUACCGGAUGUGAUAUUUGGGAGGCAUCUCCUAAAUCUUAAAGCUGGGGACCGUAAGGCCUGGCACUUCACGAUAAGCCCGCGGCCUAUCAGCUAGUUGGUGUAGGUAACGGCUCACCAAGGCUAAGACGGGUAGCUGGUCUGAGAGGACGACCAGUCACACUGGAACUGAGACACGGUCCAGACACCUACGGGUGGCAGCAGUCGAGAAUUUUUCUCAAUGGGCGAAAGCCUGAAGGAGCGACGCCGCGUGGGGGAUGAAUGGCUUCGGCCCGUAAACCCCUGUCAUUUGCGAACAAACCCCGAUAUUUAAAGAUACCGGGCUGAUUGUAGCGAAAGAGGAAGGGACGGCUAACUCUGUGCCAGCAGCC
rnacentral:rRNA from 1 species